rnacentral:miRNA from 9 species
UAAAGCUAGGUUACCAAAGGCA